GCCCCACCCUCCUCUAUCUGUUGGUUUUACUAGCUGACUUGAGUGUCGAAGGGUCCCUAUUAAAAUAGUUUUCGGUCUGGACUUUUGUUGGUACACCAUCCAAAGAUCCUAUUCACACCUGCAACUCCAGUGAAUCUGGCGUCAACGAACUUUAACACCAACAGAUUGAUGCUAGAGGAAGGGUUCAUCCUAAACAGAGGAGUGCAAGUCUAGGACAAUAUCACCAUGCCACCAA
rnacentral:lncRNA from 1 species